UACAGAGGUCCCAAGCGUUGUUCGGAUUUAUUGGGCGUAAAGGGUGCGUAGGCGGCGGAGUAAGUUGGGUGUGAAAUCCCGGGGCUCAACCUCGGAAUUGCAUUCAAUACUGCUUCGCUCGAGUACCGGAGAGGAAACUGGAAUUUACGGUGUAGCAGUGAAAUGCGUAGAGAUCGUAAGGAAGACCAGUGGCGAAGGCGAGUUUCUGGACGGUAACUGACGCUGAGGCACGAAGGCCAGGGGAGCAAACGGG
rnacentral:rRNA from 1 species